rnacentral:rRNA from 1 species
UUGGAGGGCAAGUCUGGUGCCAGCAGCCGCGGUAAUUCCAGCUCCAAUAGCGUAUAUUAAAGUUGUUGCAGUUAAAAAGCUCGUAGUUGAAUUUCGGGAUCAGAGUGUCGGUCGUGCCUCGGUACGCACUGGUAUUAUUGGUUCCUACCUUCUGAAGAACCGCGAUGUCAUUAAUUUGGUGUCGUGGGGAAUCAGGACUGUUACUUUGAAAAAAUUAGAGUGUUUAAAGCAGGCUUACGCUUGAAUACAUUAGCAUGGAAUAAUGAAAUAGGACGUUUGAUUCUAUUUUGUUGGUUUCUAGGAUUGACGUAAUGAUUAAUAGGGAUAGUUGGGGGCAUUAGUAUUCAAUUGUCAGAGGUGAAAUUCUUGGAUUUAUUGAAGACUAACUACUGCGAAAGCAUUUGCCAAGGAUGUUUUCAUUAAUCAAGAACGAAAGUUAGGGGAUCGAAGACGAUCAGAUACCGUCGUAGUCUUAACCAUAAACUAUGCCGACUAGGGGUCGGAUGAUGUUAAUUUUUUAAUGACUCAUUCGGCGCCUUACGGGAAAC